UACGUAGGUGGCAAGCGUUGUCCGGAAUUAUUGGGCGUAAAGCGCGCGCAGGCGGUCCUUUAAGUCUGAUGUGAAAUCCCACGGCUCAACCGUGGAACUGCUGGGUAUACUGGCGAUCUUGAGCCACCUAGGGGCGAGCGGAACAAGCGGUGGAGCGGUGAAAUGCGUAGAUAUCGCUUGGAACGCCAAUGGUGAAAACAGCUCGCUGGGGGUGUGCUGACGCUGAGACACGAAAGCCAGGGGAGCGAACGGG
rnacentral:rRNA from 1 species